GACGAACGCUGGCGGCGUGCUUAACACAUGCAAGUCGAACGGAAAGGCCCUGCUAUUGUGGGGUGCUCGAGUGGCGAACGGGUGAGUAACACGUGAGUAACCUGCCCUUGACUUUGGGAUAACUUCAGGAAACUGGGGCUAAUACCGGAUAGGAGCCCCCGCUGCAUGGUGGGGGUUGGAAAUUUUCUGCGGUUGGGGAUGGACUCGCGGCUUAUCAGCUUGUUGGUGGGGUAGUGGCUUACCAAGGCUUUGGCGGGUAGCCCGCCCGAGAGGGUGACCGGCCACAUUGGGACUGAGAUACGGCCCAGACUCCUACGGGAGGCAGCAGUGGGGAAUAUUGCACAAUGGGCGGAAGCCUGGUGCAGCAACGCCGCGUGCGGGAUGACGGCCUUCGGGUUGUAAACCGCUUUCGCCUGUGACGAAGCGUGAGUGACGGUAACGGGUAAAGAAGCACCGGCUAACUACGUG
rnacentral:rRNA from 1 species